UGCCUAACCCUCGGGAGAGAUCCUGAGAUAUGGCACAAAUCCAUCCCUGAUACUGAACCCUUCGUUCAGCAACCAGGGAUGGCUGUAUCCAGAAAUGGGUAUGGGCGGUCGAAAGACUGC
rnacentral:sRNA from 12 species